GGCCGAUGGUAGUGUGGGGUC
rnacentral:misc_RNA from 1 species